rnacentral:rRNA from 1 species
ACUCAAAUGAAUUGACGGGGGCCCGCACAAGCAGCGGAGCGUGUGGUUUAAUUCGAUGUUACACGAAGAACCUUACCAGGGUUUGACAUGCAGGUAGUAGGGAACGGAAACGGGACCGACCCUUCGGGGAGCCUGCACAGGUGCUGCAUGGCUGUCGUCAGCUCGUGUCGUGAGAUGUUCGGUUAAGUCCGCUAACGAGCGCAACCCUCGCUGUGUGUUAUACGUGUCACACGGGACUGCCGGUCUUAAGCCGGAGGAAGGUGGGGAUGACGUCAAGUCAGCAUGGCCUUUAUGUCCUGGGCUACACACACGCUACAAUGGGCAGUACAAUGGGUUGCUAAGCCGCGAGGUAGAGCCAAUCCCCAAAGCUGUCCUCAGUUCAGAUCGCAGGCUGCAACUCGCCUGCGUGAAGACGGAGUUGCUAGUAAACGCAGGUCAGCUAUACUGCGUUGAAUACGUUCCCGGGCCUUGUACACACCGCCCGU